UUAUCUUUCAUUUUAUAUUAGCACUAGAUAUGGUCUGAGACCUGCUCCUUUCUACUUAGCAAAUGGGAAUAAAGGAAGCAGCUGGGCACAUGGAGAGAGCAGGGCUCUGGAGCCAGAAAACUGGUGCUUACUACCCCUGGGACCUGGGAAAUUACUCUACUGGCCUCGGUUUCCUGAACUGUAGUUGGAAUAAUUGAGUCUCUGAGGUUUUGGUUACUUCUAAAGUGAUCCUCAAUUUAAAUGUUCCACUGGUGCUUAUGGCUUCUGCUGGUGUGACCUUGUUUACCUUCAGUUCCCUCUAUAACAAAGGGUUCUUUCCAAUUCUAGACCCGAUGAUCCUAGGAUACAAAGUCUCCCUCCCCCAAGCCCAUGCAGCUUUUUGGACACAGUGCCAAACUUGGUGCCAGGAAGAUCUGAGUUCAAAUUCUGUCUUGGGCAUUUCUCCACAGGAUGAUCUCUAACUUCUCCAUGCUCUUAGGCAACCAUUGGCUACAGAUGACCUACCAGAUGUAUAUGGGGAGAGGUAGUUCCAACACUGGAAGUUCCUAUAUUCAAUAAAAUCACAGAUCUGGACCAAAAAUAAGAAAAAAUAACCCAAAGAAAGGCCCAUUUAGUUUCUCUUUCCAUGCAAUGCCUUUCUGAGAAAGAAUUAGGACUCAAUUCAUUCAGCAUAUGCCUCUUCUUUUGCUAGAGUCCCACCUAUCUCCAUGCACGGUAAGGUCUUGAUUAGCUCUUUUUUGGGCUCUUUGACUUUCUAGUAGCUGAGUGACAGGGUCACCAGAGUCCUUUCUUUAUAAAUCUAGACUCUUGGGGUCAGAAUGAAUCUUGGUCUAAACUCCCCAUAUUAAAAAACGAGGAAACAGAGCCACAGUGACUAAUACCCAGUUAAAGGCAGAAUUGGUCUCCGACCUUCUAGCGUGGUACCCUUUUCACCUUUUCUUCUUUCCUCCUCUCUUUCCCUAAAAGAUUCCCUGUGAAUUUUCCAACAAAUCCCUGUUUCCCAGUCCUCAGUUUGCAGGAAUACAGGCUUUCCAGGCUCUCGACAAAGCUUCUUUGGCUUGAGGGAGAAUAAUGUCGCCGAGCUGCCUCCUUCACUAAAGCCAGGUUGUCACACAGGGCCCGUCGUGUUCCUCGUGCGCUGCUUGGAUAUGAUCUUGGGGAUUAGAAAGGGAGCACUUUCAGGUCAAGCUCUGGCAUACGGCUUGAGGGGAGGAAUUGUGGGAGGCUGCAAUAGAAGAAGAGGAAACUCGGGGAAGGAGGAAGGGCAGAGAUGAAAAUCCCAAAGGCAGCUGAUGAUCUGAGGAUUUCCCUGAGAGAAUGUCAUUUGCUCGAGGGAAGAGACUUUUGGAGAGAUGAAAGGAGAACUUACCAUGGGGAAGAGAAGUGUGGCAGGAGGAUGGAAAGAAGGAGAACCUGCAGACAGAUCAACUAGGAUUAUGAAAAAAGCCAAAGCCUUUAACAGGAGUUGAGGCAUCUGAGCAAAUAGAUAAAUUGUAUUGAAAUGAGCUUGUGGUGAGGGAGAGUUUGAAGAUGUACUUCUUUGACUGCUGAACGUGGUCCAGGAGGAAACAGAAUCAAGGACAAAAUCGUCAUCAUCAAUCAUCAUCAUCAUCAUCAUCCUCAUCAUCAAACAACAAGCACUUGUUAAGGACCAAUUGUGUACCAGGCUCUGUGCUAAAUUUUGGAGAUAUAAAGGAAGGCCAACAUAUGGCUACUGACCUCAAGGAGCUUAUAUUUUCAUGGAGUAAGACAACAUGGAAACAACUAUGUGUAUGCAAGGUCAGUACAGGAUAAAUUGGAGGUGAGCCUUUUACAGAGGGUAAGAUUUCAUUUAAUAGAACGAUCUACCUUAGUGAAUGGUGAAAUAAUUUUUUGGGGGUCCAUAGAGGACAGGACAAAGGUAAAGAAGCUGAAAAACCAUUUUAUAAAAGUAAAUGUGGAAAACUAGAUUUACAUGUAAUUGGAAAAAUAAAAUAU